UACGUAGGGUGCAAGCGUUGUCCGGAAUUAUUGGGCGUAAAGAGCUCGUAGGCGGUCUGUCGCGUCGGCUGUGAAAUCCCGAGGCUCAACCUCGGGUCUGCAGUCGAUACGGGCAAACUGGAGUGUUGCAGGGGAGACUGGAAUUCCUGGUGUAGCGGUGAAAUGCGCAGAUAUCAGGAGGAACACCGGUGGCGAAGGCGGAUCUCUGGGCCGAUACUGACGCUGAGGAGCGAAAGCGUGGGGAGCGAACAGG
rnacentral:rRNA from 1 species